rnacentral:tRNA from 1 species
GCCCCGCUAGCUCAGUUGGUUAGAGCGCCAGACUUUUAAUCUGGAUGUCAGGAGUGUAUGUAACCAUGGACUACCUCAAGGUGUCUGUCUGAAACUAAUCCCUCAAUAGUCGAGCCUCCUGCGGGGCG